GACGAAGCUGGCGGCGUGCCUAAUACAUGCAAGUCGAGCGGACUUGAUGAAGUGCUUGCACUUCUGAUGGUUAGCGGCGGACGGGUGAGUAACACGUAGGUAACCUGCCUAUAAGACUGGGAUAACAUUCGGAAACGAAUGCUAAUACCGGAUACGCGAAUUGGUCGCAUGGCCGAAUCGGGAAAGACGGAGCAAUCUGUCACUUAUAGAUGGACCUGCGGCGCAUUAGCUAGUUGGUGAGGUAACGGCUCACCAAGGCGACGAUGCGUAGCCGACCUGAGAGGGUGAUCGGCCACACUGGGACUGAGACACGGCCCAGACUCCUACGGGAGGCAGCAGUAGGGAAUCUUCCGCAAUGGACGAAAGUCUGACGGAGCAACGCCGCGUGAGUGAUGAAGGUUUUCGGAUCGUAAAGCUCUGUUGCCAGGGAAGAACGCUUGGGAGAGUAACUGCUCUCAAGGUGACGGUACCUGAGAAGAAAGCCCCGGCUAACUACGUGCCAGCCGCCGCAGUAA
rnacentral:rRNA from 1 species